rnacentral:rRNA from 1 species
GGGGAAUAUUGCACAAUGGGGGAAACCCUGAUGCAGCCAUGCCGCGUGUGUGAAGAAGGCCUUCGGGUUGUAAAGCACUUUCAGUAGGGAGGAAGGGUUGAUGUCUAAUACGCAUCAACAUUGACGUUACCUACAGAAGAAGCACCGGCUAACUCCGUGCCAGCAGCCGCGGUAAUACGGAGGGUGCAAGCGUUAAUCGGAAUAACUGGGCGUAAAGCGCACGCAGGCGGUUGGAUAAGUCAGAUGUGAAAUCCCCGGGCUCAACCUGGGAACUGCAUUUGAAACUGUCCGACUAGAGUCUUGUAGAGGGGGGUAGAAUUCCAGGUGUAGCGGUGAAAUGCGUAGAGAUCUGGAGGAAUACCGGUGGCGAAGGCGGCCCCCUGGACAAAGACUGACGCUCAGGUGCGAAAGCGUGGGGAGCAAAC